GAUGAACGCUGGCGGCGUGCUUAACACAUGCAAGUCGAACGGAAAGGCCCAAGCUUGCUUGGGUACUCGAGUGGCGAACGGGUGAGUAACACGUGGGUGAUCUGCCCUGCACUUCGGGAUAAGCCUGGGAAACUGGGUCUAAUACCGGAUAGGACCACAUUUUGGAUGGUGUGGUGGAAAGUUUUUCGGUGUGGGAUGAGCUCGCGGCCUAUCAGCUUGUUGGUGGGGUAAUGGCCUACCAAGGCGUCGACGGGUAGCCGGCCUGAGAGGGUGUACGGCCACAGUGGGACUGAGAGACGGCCCAGACUCCUACGGGAGGCAGCAGUGGGGAAUAUUGCACAAUGGGCGCAAGCCUGAGGCAGCGACGCCGCGUGGGGGAUGACGGCCUUCGGGUUGUAAACUCCUUUCGCUAGGGACGAAGCGUUUUUGUGACGGUACCUGGAGAAGAAGCACCGGCUAACUACGUG
rnacentral:rRNA from 1 species